UGGGGUGUCGCCAAGUGGUAAGGCAACGGGUUUUGAUCCCGUCAUGCGUAGGUUCGAAUCCUACCACCCCAG
rnacentral:tRNA from 1 species